rnacentral:rRNA from 1 species
AUUGAACGCUGGCGGCAGGCCUAACACAUGCAAGUCGAGCGAGCGGCGGACGGGUGAGUAAUGUAUGGGGCUCUGCCCGAUAGCGGGGGAUAACUACUGGACACGGUGGCUAAUACAGCAUACUAUCGGCUGACCCCAUAUGUGAUUAGCUAGUAGGUGGGGUAAAGGCUCACCUAGGCGACGAGCUCUAGCUGUUCUGAGAGGAUGAAAAGCCAAACUGUGACGGAGACAAGGCCCAGCCUCCUACGGGAGGCAGCAGUGGGGAAUAUUGCACAAUUGGCGCAAGCCGGAUGCAGCCAUGCCGCGUGUAUGAAGAAGGCCUUAGGGUUGUAAAGUACUUUCAGCGGGGAGGCGUUACCCGCAGAAGAAGCACCGGCUAACUCCGUGCCAGCAGCCGCGGUAAUAC